UCUUGGAGGGAUAUGCUUCGU
rnacentral:siRNA from 1 species